GGCGGUGAACACCAUCUUGGGGGAGAGAUGGAAGUCCUUGUCCACCGAGCAGCAGGCCAAGUACUACCAGGAGGCCGACGCAGCGAGGCGCCGCCAUGAGCAGCAGCACCCCCAGUGGUCCAGCAGGGACAACUACGGUCAGAAGAGGAAGAGGAGGCAUCAGGGAAGCACAGCUCCCAGCAGCUCUGGAGCUUCCUCUUCUCAGCCUGAGGGAGGGUCUGCCGCACCUGCCUCUGAUGUCUGAGGUA